ACACCGGCAGCCCAAGUGGUGGCCAUUUUUAUUGGGCCUAAAGCGUCCGUAGCCGGUCUGAUAAGUCUCUGGUGAAAUCCCACAGCUUAACUGUGGGAAUUGCUGGAGAUACUAUCAUGACUCGAGGUCGGGAGAGGCUGGAGGUACUCCCAGGGUAGGGGUGAAAUCCUGUAAUCCUGGGAGGACCACCUGUGGCGAAGGCGUCCAGCUGGAACGAACCUGACGGUGAGGGACGAAAGCCAGGGGCGCGAACCGGAUUAGAUACCCGGGUAGUCCUGGCCGUAAACGAUGUGGACUUGGUGUUGGGAUGGCUUCGAGCUGCCCCAGUGCCGAAGGGAAGCUGUUAAGUCCACCGCCUGGGAAGUACGGCCGCAAGGCUGAAACUUAAAGGAAUUGGCGGGG
rnacentral:rRNA from 1 species